GUCCACGCUGUAAACGUUGGGCGCUAGGUGUGGGGGGCCUCUCCGGUUCUCUGUGCCGCAGCUAACGCAUUAAGCGCCCCGCCUGGGGAGUACGGCCGCAAGGCUAAAACUCAAAGGAAUUGACGGGGGCCCCGCACAAGCGGCGGAGCAUGCGGAUUAAUUCGAUGCAACGCGAAGAACCUUACCUGGGUUUGACAUGGGCGGAAAUCCGGCAGAGAUGUCGGGUCCUUCGGGGCCGUUCACAGGUGGUGCAUGGCUGUCGU
rnacentral:rRNA from 1 species